AGUAUAUCAUCAAAUUUUGAUAUUGUGUCAAAGUUUGGAUCAUGUCAAAGAAGCUGUUACUGUCAUAUGUAUAGCUCUUUGGAAAUUAAUAGGUCUUCAAGUUACUAUUAUUGGAACGUGAUGAAAAUUCCUUCGUUCAAAUAUAGUUUAUUUGUAUUGUCCUAAAACCAAUUUACCUUGGUAAUUGUUGA
rnacentral:misc_RNA from 1 species